UGCCCUAGUAACGGCGAGUGAAGCGGCAACAGCUCAAAUUUGAAAUCUGGCUCUUUUAGGGUCCGAGUUGUAAUUUGCAGAGGGUGCUUUGGUGUUGGCAGCGGUCCAAGUUCUUUGGAACAGGACGUCACAGAGGGUGAGAAUCCCGUACGUGGUCGCUAGCCCUCGCCGUGUAAAGCCCCUUCGACGAGUCGAGUUGUUUGGGAAUGCAGCUCUAAAUGGGAGGUAAAUUUCUUCUAAAGCUAAAUACUGGCCAGAGACCGAUAGCGCACAAGUAGAGUGAUCGAAAGAUGAAAAGCACUUUGGAAAGAGAGUCAAAUAGCACGUGAAAUUGUUGAAAGGGAAGCGCUUGCAGCCAGACUUGCCUGUAGUUGCUUAUCCGGACUUUUGUCCGGUGCACUCUUCUGCGGGCAGGCCAGCAUCAGUUUAGGCGGUUGGAUAAAGGUCUCUGUCAUGUACCUCUCUUCGGGGAGGCCUUAUAGGGGAGACGACAUGCAACCAGCCUGAACUGAGGUCCGCGCAUCUGCUAGGAUGCUGGCGUAAUGGCUGUAAGCGGCCCGUCUUGAAACACGGACCAAGGAGUCUAACAUCUAUGCGAGUGUUUGGGUGUCAAGCCCAGACGCGUAAUGAAAGUGAACGGAGGUGGGAACCCUUACGGGUGCACCAUCGACCGAUCCUGAUGUCUUCGGAUGGAUUUGAGUAAGAGCAUGGCUGUUGGGACCCGAAAGAUGGUGAACUAUGCUUGAAUAGGGUGAAGCCAGAGGAAACUCUGGUGGAGGCUCGCAGCGGUUCUGACGUGCAAAUCGAUCGUCAAAUUUGGGCAUAGGGCGAAAGACUAAUCGAA
rnacentral:rRNA from 1 species